ACAAAACGGCAGCCUACACAUGCAGUCGAGGGGUAGAAAGAGCUUGCUUUUUUGAGACCGGCGCACGGGUGAGUAACGCGUAUGCAACCUACCUUAUACAGGGGAAUAGCCCGAAGAAAUUCGGAUUAAUGCUCCAUGGUUUAUCGAUAUGGCAUCGUAUUGAUAAUAAAGAUUUAUCGGUAUAAGAUGGGCAUGCGUAUCAUUAGCUAGUUGGUGUGGUAACGGCAUACCAAGGCAACGAUGAUUAGGGGUCCUGAGAGGGAGAUCCCCCACACUGGUACUGAGACACGGACCAGACUCCUACGGGAGGCAGCAGUGAGGAAUAUUGGUCAAUGGAGGCAACUCUGAACCAGCCAUGCCGCGUGCAGGAUGACGGUCCUAUGGAUUGUAAACUGCUUUUGUACAGGAAGAAACCUCCCUACGAGUAGGGACUUGACGGUACUGUAAGAAUAAGGAUCGGCUAACUCCGUGCCAGCAGCCGCGGUAAUACGGAGGAUCCGAGCGUUAUCCGGAAUUAUUGGGUUUAAAGGGUUCGUAGGCGGUCAGAUAAGUCAGUGGUGAAAUUUCCUAGCUUAACUAAGACACUGCCAUUGAUACUGUUUAACUUGAAUAAUAUGGAAGUAACUAGAAUAUGUAGUGUAGCGGUGAAAUGCUUAGAUAUUACAUGGAAUACCAAUUGCGAAGGCAGGUUACUACGUAUUUAUUGACGCUGAUGAACGAAAGCGUGGGGAGCGAACAGGAUUAGAUACCCUGGUAGUCCACGCCGUAAACGAUGGAUACUAGCUGUUCGGUUUUCGGACUGAGUGGCUAAGCGAAAGUGAUAAGUAUCCCACCUGGGGAGUACGUUCGCAAGAAUGAAACUCAAAGGAAUUGACGGGGGCCCGCACAAGCGGUGGAGCAUGUGGUUUAAUUCGAUGAUACGCGAGGAACCUUACCAGGGCUUAAAUGUAGAUUGACAGAUUUGGAAACAGAUUUUUCUUCGGACAAUUUACAAGGUGCUGCAUGGUUGUCGUCAGCUCGUGCCGUGAGGUGUCAGGUUAAGUCCUAUAACGAGCGCAACCCCUAUUGUUAGUUACCAGCGCGUAGUGGCGGGGACUCUAGCAAGACUGCCGGUGCAAACCGUGAGGAAGGUGGGGAUGACGUCAAAUCAUCACGGCCCUUACGUCCUGGGCUACACACGUGCUACAAUGGCAAGUACAGAAAGCAGCUACCUGGCAACAGGAUGCGAAUCUCCAAAGCUUGUCUCAGUUCGGAUUGGAGUCUGCAACUCGACUCUAUGAAGCUGGAAUCGCUAGUAAUCGGAUAUCAGCCAUGAUCCGGUGAAUACGUUCCCGGCGCCUUGUAUCNCCACCGCCCCCCGGCUCC
rnacentral:rRNA from 1 species